GGGUUGUGAGGUUAAGCGACUAAGCGUACACGGUGGAUGCCCUGGCAGUCAGAGGCGAUGAAGGACGUGCUAAUCUGCGAUAAGCGCCGGUAAGGUGAUAUGAACCGUUAUAACCGGCGAUUUCCGAAUGGGGAAACCCAGUGUGAUUCGUCACACUAUCAUUAACUGAAUCCAUAGGUUAAUGAGGCGAACCGGGGGAACUGAAACAUCUAAGUACCCCGAGGAAAAGAAAUCAACCGAGAUUCCCCCAGUAGCGGCGAGCGAACGGGGAGGAGCCCAGAGCCUGAAUCAGCAUGUGUGUUAGUGGAAGCGUCUGGAAAGGCGCGCGAUACAGGGUGACAGCCCCGUACACAAAAGCGCAUGUGCUGUGAGCUCGAUGAGUAGGGCGGGACACGUGGUAUCCUGUCUGAAUAUGGGGGGACCAUCCUCCAAGGCUAAAUACUCCUGACUGACCGAUAGUGAACCAGUACCGUGAGGGAAAGGCGAAAAGAACCCCGGCGAGGGGAGUGAAAAAGAACCUGAAACCGUGUACGUACAAGCAGUGGGAGCACA
rnacentral:rRNA from 1 species